UACGUAGGGGGCGAGCGUUGUCCGGAAUUAUUGGGCGUAAAGCGCACGUAGGCGGCUUUGCAAGUCCCAUGUGAAAUCCCACGGCUCAACCGUGGAAGUGCAUGGGAAACUGCAGAGCUUGAGUACUUAAGAGGAUCGCGGAAUUCCCGGUGUAGAGGUGAAAUUCGUAGAUAUCGGGAGGAACACCAGUGGCGAAGGCGGCGAUCUGGGAAGAUACUGACGCUGAGGUGCGAAAGCGUGGGGAGCAAACAGG
rnacentral:rRNA from 1 species